GCGUCAUUUCAACCCUCAGGCCCAGCCUGGUGAUGGGGCGCCCGCGGUCUCGUGCCGCGGGGCCCUGAAAAGCAGCGGCGGGCUUUGCUGAUACCCGAGCGUAGUAAUCUUUCUCGCUUAGGGGACUGGUAGGUGCCUUGCCUUGAAACAAUUCUUUUAUUGUUGACCUCGGAUCAGGUAGGAAUACCCGCUGAACUUAA
rnacentral:misc_RNA from 1 species